ACGACGGCCCUAUGGGUUGUAAACUGCUUUUAUAAGGGAAUAAAGUGAGUCUCGUGAGACUUUUUGCAUGUACUUAUGAAUAAGGACCGGCUAAUUCCGUGCCAGCAGCCGCGGUAAUACGGAAGGUCCGGGCGUUAUCCGGAUUUAUUGGGUUUAAAGGGAGCGUAGGCUGGAGAUUAAGCGUGUUGUGAAAUGUAGAGGCUCAACCUCUGCACUGCAGCGCGAACUGGUCUUCUUGAGUACGCACAACGUGGGCGGAAUUCGUGGUGUAGCGGUGAAAUGCUUAGAUAUCACGAAGAACUCCGAUUGCGAAGGCAGCUCACGGGAGCGCAACUGACGCUGAAGCUCGAAAGUGCGGGUAUCGAACAGGAUUAGAUACCCUGGUAGUCCGCACGGUAAACGAUGGAUGCCCGCUGUUGGCCUGAAUAGGUCAGCGGCCAAGCGAAAGCAUUAAGCAUCCCACCUGGGGAGUACGCCGGCAACGGUGCAACUCAAAUGAAUUGACGGA
rnacentral:rRNA from 1 species